rnacentral:rRNA from 1 species
AACGUAGGAGGCAAGCGUUAUCCGGAUUUACUGGGCGUAAAGCGUGUGCAGGCGGUUUGGUAAGUUGGAUGUGAAAGCUCCUGGCUCAACUGGGAGAGGUCGUUCAAUACUACCAGACUUGAGAGUGGUAGAGGGAGGUGGAAUUCCCGGUGUAGUGGUGAAAUGCGUAGAUAUCGGGAGGAACACCAGUGGCGAAAGCGGCCUCCUGGACCAUUUCUGACGCUCAGACACGAAAGCUAGGGGAGCAAACGGG